rnacentral:lncRNA from 1 species
AUUCCUCCCGUGUCAUUAUUCCCCCCGUGUCGCUGUUCCUCCCUUGUCGCUGUAUCUC